UACGUAGGGGGCGAGCGUUGUCCGGAUUUAUUGGGCGUAAAGAGCUCGUAGGCGGUCUGUCGCGUCGGUCGUGAAAACUUGGGGCUUAACCCUGAGCUUGCGGUCGAUACGGGCAUGACUGGAGUCCGGUAGGGGAGCGUGGAAUUCCUGGUGUAGCGGUGAAAUGCGUAGAUAUCUGGAGGAACACCGGUGGCGAAGGCGGCAUCCUGGACCGACACUGACGCUGAGGAGCGAAAGCCAGGGGGAGCAAACGGG
rnacentral:rRNA from 1 species